CAGUGUUUAAUUUUUUUAAAUUUUUUUUUGUGUCAGUUAAUUGCUACGUAUCUUAGUUAGGCUGUCAGAAAAUAAACGUAAGUAUGCAGCAAAACUAUUAAUAGUAGGUUGUGAUUGCAAAUAUACAAUUCACGAAGAGUAUUGGUGCAAUGGACUUAGCAUCGCAGGAAAAAUGCCACUGUUAACCAAUCUUGAUUUGGUAAAUUACCUGCUAUGUUCCAAGUCUCCAUACACGCAUGAAGAUUUAAAGGCUUACAAGGGCCUUGAGACCUACAAGAGAUUCACGAUGGGGGAAUUGGAUCAUUUUGUGCAAUCAGUCUUUUAAACAAAAAUUUGUUGAUGAAAGCGAAGGUUAUUACUCUUCAUUUGUUUAUUUGUAACAUUACUAUAACAUAUAACUUUUUGUUGUCAUAACGUAUGAAUAAAUUAUACUUCAUAAUUUG